AUUGAACGCUGGCGGCAUGCUUUACACAUGCAAGUCGAACGGCAGCGCGGGCUUCGGCCUGGCGGCGAGUGGCGAACGGGUGAGUAAUGCAUCGGAACGUGCCCAGUAGUGGGGGAUAGCCCGGCGAAAGCCGGAUUAAUACCGCAUACGACCUGAGGGUGAAGCGGGGGACCGAAAGGCCUCGCGCUAUUGGAGCGGCCGAUGUCGGAUUAGCUAGUUGGUGGGGUAAAGGCUUACCAAGGCGACGAUCCGUAGCUGGUCUGAGAGGACGACCAGCCACACUGGGACUGAGACACGGCCCAGACUCCUACGGGAGGCAGCAGUGGGGAAUUUUGGACAAUGGGGGCAACCCUGAUCCAGCCAUGCCGCGUGCGGGAAGAAGGCCUUCGGGUUGUAAACCGCUUUUGUUCGGGAAGAAAUCCUCUGGGCUAAUACCCCGGGGGGAUGACGGUACCGGAAGAAUAAGCACCGGCUAACUACGUG
rnacentral:rRNA from 1 species